CCCCAGACUCCUACGGGAGGCAGCAGUGGGGAAUAUUGCACAAUGGGGGAAACCCUGAUGCAGCGACGCCGCGUGAGUGAAGAAGUAUUUCGGUAUGUAAAGCUCUAUCAGCAGGGAAGAAAAUGACGGUACCUGACUAAGAAGCCCCGGCUAACUACGUGCCAGCAGCCGCGGUAAUACGUAGGGGGCAAGCGUUAUCCGGAUUUACUGGGUGUAAAGGGAGCGUAGACGGCAUGGCAAGUCAGAUGUGAAAGCCCGGGGCUCAACCCCGGGACUGCAUUUGAAACUGUCAGGCUGGAGUGCAGGAGAGGUAAGUGGAAUUCCUAGUGUAGCGGUGAAAUGCGUAGAUAUUAGGAGGAACACCAGUGGCGAAGGCGGCUUACUGGACUGUAACUGACGUUGAGGCUCGAAAGCGUGGGGAGCAAACAGGAUUAGAUACCCCGGUACA
rnacentral:rRNA from 1 species